rnacentral:rRNA from 1 species
CAAUAGCGUAUAUUAAAGUUGUUGCGGUUAAAAAGCUCGUAGUUGGAUUUCUGCCGAGGGCGACCGGUCCGCCCUCCGGGUGAGUAUCUGGCUCGGCCUGGGCAUCUUCUUGGAGAACGUAGCUGCACUUGGCUGUGUGGUGCGGUAUUCAGGACUUUUACUUUGAGGAAAUUAGAGUGUUUCAAGCAGGCAUACGCCUUGAAUACAUUAGCAUGGAAUAAUAAGAUAGGACCUCGGUUCUAUUUUGUUGGUUUCUAGAUCUGAGGUAAUGAUUAAUAGGGAUAGUUGGGGGCAUUCGUAUUUAACUGUCGGAGGUGAAAUUCUUGGAUUUGUUAAAGACGGACUACUGCGAAAGCAUUUGCCAAGGAUGUUUUCAUUGA